CCCCUCCCCACACACACACGCGCACCCCGCAGAGCGCCCGGACGCCUGGGCCCCUUCCCACGGCUCCCUGAGCGCCCGGACGCCUGGGCCCCCUCCAGGCAUUGAGGACCCGGACGCCUGGGCCCCCUUCAGGAUGGGUGACCCGGACGCCUGGGCCCUCUCCAGGACGGGGGGACCCGGACGCCUGGGCCCCCUCUGGGACAGGGGGACCCGGACGCCUGGGCCCCCUCCAGGCAUUGAGGACCCGGACGCCUGGGCCCCUCUUCCUCUCUCCCCUCCCAAGCCCCGAACCAGCUUUGGGAUCUGAACCAAAAUCUGCUCUUUUUCCCCCAAAGCCUCCGCAGCGCCCGCGGAGGAGGAAAAUGCCUAAAAAAAGCCAAACUGCCCCCAAAAAAGGUGGGGGGUUGUGGGGGGGGCUGGAUGAAGCCGGGGGGGUCCCUGGACGUGUCCCCAAAGGGGGGGUCCCGGGCACCGAACGUGUCCCCAAGGGGGGUCGCUCGUGUCCCCAAAGGGGGGUCUCGCUGUUGGGGUCCCAGCACCGUCCCCGUCCCCGUCCCCGUCGGGGUCUCCUUGAGGGUGUCCUGGUGCCGUCCAUGUCCCCAUGGGGGGGGAGGGUCUCACCAUUGGGGACCGAACACCGUCCCCAUCCAUGGUCGGGGUCUCACCAUGGUGGUCCCAGCACUGUCCCCAUCCCGGUUGGGGUCUCGUCCUGGUGAUUGGGGCCAUCGUCCCCAUCCAUGGUCGGGGUCUCGUUGAGGGUGUCCUGGUGCUGUCCAUGUCCUCGGGGGGGUGUGUGUCUCACCGUUGGGGACCAAACACCGUCCCCAUCCCAGUUGGGGUCUCAUCAUGGUGGUCCCGGCAUCAUCCAUGUCUCGGUCGAGGUCUUGUCCUGGAGAUUGGGGCCACUGUCCCCAUCCAUGGUUGGGGUCUCACCAUGGGGGUCCUGGUACCGUCCCCAUCUCCGUUGGGGUCUCACCAUGGUGGUCCCGGCAUCAUCCAUGUCUCGGUCGAGGUCUUGUCCUGGAGGUCGGGGCCACUGUCCCCAUCCUGGUUGGGGUCUCACCAUGGUGGUCCUGGUGCCGUCCCCAUCCAUGGCCGGGGCGUCACCGCGGGGGUCCCGUCCCCGUCCCCGUCCCCGCGGGGGGCGGGUGGCCACCUCAGGA
rnacentral:lncRNA from 1 species